rnacentral:rRNA from 1 species
UACGUAGGGUGCAAGCGUUAAUCGGAAUUACUGGGCGUAAAGCGUGCGCAGGCGGUUUUGUAAGUCUGUCGUGAAAUCCCCGGGCUUAACCUGGGAAUUGCGAUGGAGACUGCAAGGCUGGAAUCUGGCAGAGGGGGGUAGAAUUCCACGUGUAGCAGUGAAAUGCGUAGAGAUGUGGAGGAACACCGAUGGCGAAGGCAGCCCCCUGGGUCAAGAUUGACGCUCAUGCACGAAAGCGUGGGGAGCAAACAGG